CUGUGUUGUGUAGUAUGGAUGCUAAAGACCAGCCUCACUCGUGGACUUAGAAGCGUCAUAUUACUCAAUAACAUUGUAAUGACUUGAUUGAUUUCUUUACGUAAGAGCACGCAGCGGGGAAUUGUAAGGACAUUAUUUAAUUUGAAGCCUGUCCACUACCUAACAAAGCAACUUAUCCAUUCGAAUCGACACCACACGGGGAAUCGAAAGUGAUCAUCACUCACCGACAUGAACCAUUCCAGGAGUUAUCAAAGAUUCAUGUACCUUUGCUUUGUUCCGUUGUUAUGCAGUAUUCUGGGAACGGAAUCCGCCGAAAUGGAUCCUUAGACUGGGGGUCUCCUUGAUUAACCAGUCUUGUCUGUUACAAGACAUCACCUCAUUAGUUUGAGAUCUUCACAGCAUGGCUAAUACGUUCCACGUUAUGGCAAGAUUGGCCAGGAUACAUGGUGGCGAAACACCAUUGUAUAUUCCAGGGAUGUGCAUGUGUUGAUCUGUGUGUCUCUCUCUUACUGCGCGUGUGUGUGUGCGCGCGUGUAUGUAUGUGUGGGAGCGUGUAUGUGAGUGUUGGUUGUCGGUCUGACAAUACUGUAUUUUUCUGUUUCUUCAAGACGUGUUAUGUUGUCAGAAACAUCCCCUGUCCCCCUCACAAGGUCCGAUGGUCUGGCCCUUAAAGCAAGUCAUCAUUUUGAUCAUAAUGAGAUGACAAGACGUGUAAGUGAAACGAUAAUAAAUUCCUAUAUAAUUGGCUCCCUCUACACUGGCUAGACACACCUCGCGGCGAGAGGCUGAGAAGUCCUGGCUGAUCUAUACUGCCUGAUCUGUCUCGGUACCUUGGUUGACACCUUGACGGCGUGAGGCUGAGAAGUGAUGGCCGAUCUCUUCUGCCUGAUCGGUGUCGUGGCUUCGUUGCAUAUUGGUUGUGUGUAUCACUUUUAUCAUUGCUCAGUGCUGUUGUUUUAUUGACAAAUUUGUUUAAUGAGAUUUGUUUCAGGAUUGUUGUAUAUUUCACUGUAUUCCUUUAUGCAAACCAUGUCGUGCCUGGACUCAUUGUAGUAACUGUUCUUGGCAUGAUUUUCCCUGACCACAAAUGUUAUGAGUAAAGUCUUGUGGAGAAAUUGUUUAACACAUUCAUAUUAUAUAGUCGGAAUCAUACAGUAGAUAUUUCUAGAAUAAUGGACAUGAUCUUGUGGCUUUUGUUGCAAGUAUUUCACCCAGUUAUAGGUGGUUUCAAUACAUAGGACGCCCCACAAUGCCUUGCCAUCUAUAUUACACUAAUACAUGGUAUCAGUUUUUUGUGUAUUUUAAUUAUACAUAUGUAAGCCAUCAUAACUGCUACAAGAUGAUUACCAUAUGCAGUGUCUGAAACAUCAAGACGGAACCUGGCUCUGAAUAAACCAGCAUGGAGCAGUUGUAAGAGCACAUGGGAUGACAAGGCUGCUGCUGCUGCUGCUGUAGACGGCGAAAAUAAUACCUGCAUUCCCUCCAUGUAUUGGCAAUCCGCGAUGGCUUGUUGUGGAUCUGCUGGCACUAUACCACAUCCAGGACGUCAGCAUCUACACUGAAGCUGGAAACCUCCAUGACUUCACGCUUGAGAUCUACGAGACAAAUCCAUCUCGAUAUCGAACAGCAGCGCCCACCCUGCAAGAACUACACUCGACAGCUCGGUUCCCUUAAAACCAUAUCGUGUGAGAGACCAUUCGUGGGCAGAUACGUUCGGCUGAGGGCAGAAGUUGAGUCAACUUCUGCCCAUGGUGUCCUCAGACUUUGUGAAAUUAAAGUUUAUGGAAUCAAACAUGCGUACCAGACAUCAAACUACAUCCGAAUGCCAGAAGGAAGACUAAUUCCUCCAUUGGUGAAGUCGUCUGCCUUGUCCCGAGUGUCCUGUGUGCAGCAAUGCAUGUUGUCUGGAGCCUGUGUCGGUGUCAACUACAACAGUGGAACACGAGAGUGUGAGCUCCUCGGUCCGUGGGCUGAGCCCACUCACACAGUCCCCACCGAUCCGGACUGGGUCUACUAUAGAGAUGACAUGUGUUGAAAUGAAACAGUUGCCUCUGACCGGGUCUAAUGAGGAGACGAUCUGUGUUGACCUGACACAGUGUGUCAUCCCCCCGUGACUCUUGUAUUCACUUAUUAUACAGGAUAUGAUAUCUGGGAAAUGUAUACUUUCUACGACACUUGUAACAAGAUCUAGUGUUUACCCAGACCUGCCUUUUCCUAGGUACUGCUUAUCUACUUGUCCAUACUCGUUUAAGACAUUCCUUACACAGAUUUGUUUAUAGUCAAUUUGACAAAGUGUUUUUUAUUGUUUUUAAGUGGUUGUAGAGACUGAUGAAACAUCUAUUGAUUGUAACUGUAAACGGCUGUUAAUGAUGGCUGACUGACUGAAUAUGGUUUUACACCGCUUUUAGCAAUAUUCCAGCAAUAUCACGGCGGGGGACACCAGAAAU
rnacentral:lncRNA from 1 species